rnacentral:rRNA from 1 species
CGUGUUACAAUGGGGGGUACGAGAGGGCCGCUACCACGCGAGUGGAUGCCAAUCCCUAAAACCCCUCUCAGUUCGGACUGGAGUCUGCAACCCGACUCCACGAAGCUGGAUUCGCUAGUAAUCGCGCAUCAGCCACGGCGCGGUGAAUACGUUCCCGGGCCUUGUACACACCGCCCGUCAAGCCAUGGGAGCCGGGGGUACCUGAAGUGCGUAACCGCGAGGAUCGCCCUAGGGUAAAACUGGUGACUGGGGCUAAGUCGUAACAAGGUAUC